UGGGUCUUUGGGGAGCCUGGUCUUUAGCUUGGACCAAUGCAAAUACACUUGGAGAUGAGCCUUCAAGAUAAAUGAAAGAAAGAGUCAAAAAAGCACAAAGAGCGGGAGGACUGAGAUCUUGUCAUGAAGCGGAGCAAAGGAGUGGAGCAUGAUGGACUGCAGAGAUAGGCUGUAAAACUAAGCUUGACUGCGUAUCCGGGUGUUUUCUUGAGCGACGCAUUGUUCAUUGAAAGUGAAAUGCUGAUUAUAAUUGAGAGAACCACACAGGAGCACGUUCAAAUAGCUCAUUUGGAGCAUGUGUCAUCGCUUACGGCCAUACCACCCUGAACACGCCCGAUCUCGUCCGAUCUCGGAAGCUAAGCAGGGUCGGGCCUGGUUAGUACUUGGAUGGGAGACCGCCUGGGAAUACCAGGUGCUGUAAGCUUUUCUUUUCUUGUAUCUUGUGCCGUGUUCUCUCUCCAAGAGGCUAGGAUAUGGGUCUUUGGGGAGCCUG